GAUGAACGCUGGCGGCGUGCUUAACACAUGCAAGUCGAACGGAAAGGCUCCUGCUUGCAGGGGUACUCGAGUGGCGAACGGGUGAGUAACACGUGGGUGAUCUGCCCUGCACUUCGGGAUAAGCCUGGGAAACUGGGUCUAAUACCGGAUAGGACCACAUUUUGGAUGGUGUGGUGGAAAGUUUUUCGGUGUGGGAUGAGCUCGCGGCCUAUCAGCGUGUUGGUGGGGUAAUGGCCUACCAAGGCGUCGACGGGUAGCCGGCCUGCGAGAGUGUACGGCCACAUUGGGACUGAGAUACGGCCCAGACUCCGACGGGGGGCAGCAGUGGGGAAUAUUGCACAAUGGGCGCAAGCCUGAUGCAGCGACGCCGCGUGGGGGAUGACGGCCUUCGGGUUGUAAACUCCUUUCGCUAGGGACGAAGCGUUUUUGUGACGGUACCUGGAGAAGAAGCACCGGCUAACUACGUG
rnacentral:rRNA from 1 species